AUGUUGCUCAGGCUAGUCUCAAACUCCUGGCCUCAAGCAGUCCUCCCAUCUUGGCCUCCCCAAGUGCUGGGAUUACAGGCUGUACGGGAAGCAUGGUGCCGUCAUCUGCUCCUGCUGAUGCCUUGGGAAGCUUCCAAUCAUGGUGGAAGGUACAGGGAACAAGUGUGUCACAUGAUUGCCAGGAAACCACCCGAAGCUAAGAGUCAGGCCUGGAACAGAUCCUCAGCACAUACAGAGGGAGCAUGGCCCUGCUACUACCUGGAUCUCAGACUCACAGCCUCCAGAACUGUGAGACGGUUUAAGUUCUACAUUUCUGGAGGGAUUGCAGAGAUUAAUGCCACCAUCAAGUACUUGAAGGAUAUAGGGCUGGUGCUUCCUACCACAUCCCCACUCAACUUGCCUGUUUGGCCUGUGCAGAAAAUGGAGAAUAAUAGUAGAUUGUCAUAA
rnacentral:lncRNA from 1 species